UACGUAGGGUGCGAGCGUUAAUCGGAAUUACUGGGCGUAAAGCGUGCGCAGGCGGCGCGUUAAGACAGGUGUGAAAGCCCCGAGCUUAACUUGGGAAUUGCGCUUGUGACUGGCGAGCUGGAGUGUGGCAGAGGGAGGUGGAAUUCCACGUGUAGCAGUGAAAUGCGUAGAGAUCAUGAGGAAGACCAGUGGCGAAGGCGGGUCUCUGGACAGUUCCUGACACUGAGGCACGAAGGCCAGGGGAGCAAACGGG
rnacentral:rRNA from 1 species